AGUGAACGCUGGCGGUAGGCCUAACACAUGCAAGUCGAACGGCAGCACAGUAAGAGCUUGCUCUUACGGGUGGCGAGUGGCGGACGGGUGAGGAAUACAUCGGAAUCUACUUUUUCGUGGGGGAUAACGUAGGGAAACUUACGCUAAUACCGCAUACGACCUACGGGUGAAAGCAGGGGAUCUUCGGACCUUGCGCGAUUGAAUGAGCCGAUGUCGGAUUAGCUAGUUGGCGGGGUAAAGGCCCACCAAGGCGACGAUCCGUAGCUGGUCUGAGAGGAUGUUCAGCCACACUGGAACUGAGACACGGUCCAGACUCCGACGGGAGGCAGCAGUGGGGAAUAUUGGACAAUGGGCGCAAGCCUGAUCCAGCCAUACCGCGUGGGUGAAGAAGGCCUUCGGGUUGUAAAGCCCUUUUGUUGGGAAAGAAAAGCAGCAGGUUAAUACCCCGCUGUUCUGACGGUACCCAAAGAAUAAGCACCGGCUAACUUCGUG
rnacentral:rRNA from 1 species